rnacentral:rRNA from 1 species
CUACGUGCCAGCAGCCGCGGUAAUACGUAGGUCCCGAGCGUUGUCCGGAUUUAUUGGGCGUAAAGCGAGCGCAGGCGGUUAGAUAAGUCUGAAGUUAAAGGCUGUGGCUUAACCAUAGUACGCUUUGGAAACUGUUUAACUUGAGUGCAAGAGGGGAGAGUGGAAUUCCAUGUGUAGCGGUGAAAUGCGUAGAUAUAUGGAGGAACACCGGUGGCGAAAGCGGCUCUCUGGCUUGUAACUGACGCUGAGGCUCGAAAGCGUGGGGAGCAAACAGGAUUAGAUACCCUGGUAGUCCACGCCGUAAACGAUGAGUGCUAGGUGUUAGACCCUUUCCGGGGUUUAGUGCCGUAGCUAACGCAUUAAGCACUCCGCCUGGGGAGUACGACCGCAAGGUUGAAACUCAAAGGAAUUGACGGGGGCCCGCACAAGCGGUGGAGUAUGUGGUUUAAUUCGACGCAACGCGAAGAACCUUACCAGGUCUUGACAUUGAKGACAGAACUAGAGAUAG